rnacentral:rRNA from 1 species
GACGAACGCUGGCGGCGUGCUUAACACAUGCAAGUCGAACGCUGAAGCUUGGUGCUUGCACUGGGUGGAUGAGUGGCGAACGGGUGAGUAAUACGUGAGUAACCUGCCCUUGACUCUGGGAUAAGCCUGGGAAACUGGGUCCAAUACUGGAUACGACAUGUCACCGCAUGGUGGUGUGUGGAAAGGGUUUUACUGGUUUUGGAUGGGUUCACGGCCUAUCAGCUUGUUGGGGGGGUAAUGGCUCACCAAGGCGACGACGGGUAGCCGGCCUGAGAGGGUGACCGGCCACAAUGGGACUGAGACACGGCCCAGACUCCUACGGGAGGCAGCAGUGGGGAAUAUUGCACAAUGGGCGGAAGCCUGAUGCAGCGACGCCGCGUGCGGGAUGACGGCCUUCGGGUUGUAAACCUCUUUCAGCACGGAAGAAGCGAAAGUGACGGUACGUGCAGAAGAAGCGCCGGCUAACUACGUG